GGGCGCGUGGCGCAGUUGGUAGCGCGCAUGCUUAGCAUUCGGACAGCUUGGGAUUUGAACCCUUGCUUACGUAAUUGCAUGAGGGCCAGGGUUCAAAUCCCUGCGCGUCCA
rfam:Sistotremastrum niveocremeum HHB9708 unplaced genomic scaffold SISNIscaffold_8, whole genome shotgun sequence.